rnacentral:rRNA from 1 species
UUCGCAAUGCCCGAAAGGGUGAACGAGCGACGCCGCGUGCGGGAUGAAGGGUUUCGGCUUGUAAACCGCUUUUCUUUGGGAAGAAGGUCUGUCUCGUGCAGAUGGGCUCGACGGUACCAGAGGAAUAAGCCUCGGCUAACUCCGUGCCAGCAGCCGCGGUAAGACGGAGGAGGCAAGCGUUGUUCGGAAUCACUGGGCUUAAAGGGCGCGUAGGCGGGCUGUCAAGUUUGGGGUGAAAUCCCGCGGCUCAACCGUGGAACUGCCUCAAAUACUGACGGUCUCGAGGGAGGUAGGGGCGAGCGGAACUGAUGGUGGAGCGGUGAAAUGCGUUGAUAUCAUCAGGAACUCCGGUGGCGAAGGCGGCUCGCUGGACCUUUUCUGACGCCGAGGCGCGAAAGCUAGGGGAGCAAACGGGAUUAGAUACCCCGGUAGUCCACGCUGUAAACGGUGGGCACUAAGUAGAGGGGUUUU